AUACGAAAGGUGCAAGCGUUGUUCGGAUUUACUGGGCGUAAAGAGAGUGUAGGUUGUUUAUUAAGUCGGAUGUGAAAUCCCGGGGCUCAACCUCGGAACUGCAUUCGAUACUGAUAGGCUAGAGUGUGGGAGGGGUAAGCGGAAUUCCGUGUGUAGCAGUGAAAUGCGUAGAUAUACGGAGGAACACCUGAGGCGAAGGCGGCUUACUGGACCAAUACUGACACUGAGACUCGAAAGCGUGGGUAGCAAACAGGAUUAGAUACCCUAGUAGUCC
rnacentral:rRNA from 1 species